GGACGGAUAGAUAAACUCUCACAUGGAGAGAGGCCGGCAAUCGACAGCCGGUGGCCGCAGGUUCGAAUCCUGUUCCGUCCU
rnacentral:tRNA from 1 species